GUAGCAUUUAAUCUUCACAAAAAUCCUGUGAGUUCAAUGCUGUUAUUAUUUCCAUUUUACAGAGGAGAAAAUGGAGUCACAGAGAGGAAGUAAUAUGUCUAAAGUUACACAACUCAUAGUAGAAGCAGCAUGGGAACAGAAAGAGCUGACCCGAGUCCAUGCUCCUGACCAUGAUGCCACCAGUUGUGAGUCCACUUUUCUGUGACACAUUUAUUAUUUCCUUAUGGUCUUCAGUCUUCUUUUGGUCAUUGAAUGGUACACAUCAGAUUCUUCGGAGGCCAAGUAGGUAUGUUUUUAUUUCUAAAAACACUUAUUUUAAUAAGUAAGAUCUUUGUCUCUCCAGCUUUUACUGAUCUUUUCUUCCCUGGAUUCAAGUCCAAUCUGAAUGUCCUAUCAAUUUAGGUAACUUGCCCUUUCACAAGUCUGGAAUUCCCAAACUUGUGAAAGAGAUCAGGAGGAUGUGUGACUACCAAAGUGAAGAGGAGUACCGUGUUUGCCAAGACGUAAGCACUUGAGUAUUUCUGAAUAGAAGUGGAGCCAGUUAGAGCAGUUUCUGUAGACUGGCAUCCCCAGCCCCACUGUACUCCUAGAAGCUUGCCAGCCUAGAAAACAGGCUCUCUAGCAUUUGCCUGUGUCCACCGUGGGUUCUCAUGACACCAUCAUUUUUUAAAAUAUAGCUCCUAACCAAUUCUGGGAGCUUUGAUCAUUGAUGAAAUUUAAUUUUAUUAGGUAACAAAUAGCCUACAACAUCAAGAAACUGGGAAGAAUGAAGUGUGAGCAGUAAGGCGCUGGUUGUCUAUUCUCCUCCCCAUCCUUACUUCUCCUGAACACACGCAGACACACACAGACAAAAACAACAACAACAAAAAAUCCAGGGGAUCUCCAGAUAACUCACUUAUUGAUUCCACAAUGGAACAUCUUUACUUGCCUAAUGCUUUAUGCACUGGUCUGUAUGCUUUAUGCUUCUGUGUCUGUAUCCAUAUUUUUCUUUAAACUUUUAAAAAUGGUCACGAGCAUGUGAACUAUUUCACCUUAUUCAUUCUUCCAUUAAAUAAAUAGAUAGGUAAAUACA
rnacentral:lncRNA from 1 species